rnacentral:lncRNA from 1 species
CCUGCAAGGACAACAUUAUUUGUUAGGUCAAGGAGACGGUUUUGCAGGACUUGUUUGUAUUCACCACCCUGUAGAUCCUGUCAGCCCUUACACGGGUAAAAGAAAGCUUUGACCGGAUGGUGCUUUAGCAGCUGUAUUCCCAUGACUAGAAAUAUCGAGCACUCUUUUUUGUCAUGCUCUGUCGAACACAUUAAUAACACGCUCGGUGCUGUUUCUAUCUCAUGAGCCCCUCAGGGUUCCUGACACUGAUGCCGCGAGGAAACAGAGCUGGCUGAAGUUCACUCACAAGGAGGAGAAAGGGAAAUAAAUUAAACCCAACUUUCCUUGGCAGCUGUGUUUGCAGAGGAAAAACACCACUUCAUCCCAAACACCAGUGCAAUCCCCAAAGAUGGUCGAUCUUGGGACCGGCGCUCUUCAACAUCUUCAUCAUUGACAAAGACGAUGGCAUCAAGUGCACCCUCAGCAAGUUUGCGGAUGACACCAAGCUCAGCGGUGCAGUCGAUACGUUGGAAGGAAGGGAAGCCAUCCAGAGGGACCUGGAGAGGCUGGAGAAGCA